rnacentral:rRNA from 1 species
AUGCAAGUCGAACGGGAACCUUUGGAUUCGUCUGAAGGGGAGAGUGGCGAACGGGUGAGUAACACGUGGGUGACCUGCCUCGAAGACGGGGAUAACCACUGGAAACGGUGGCUAAUACCCGAUGGUCUCGAUAAUUCGGUUUAUCGAGUAAAGGCUCCGGCGCUUUGAGAGGGACCUGCGGCCCAUCAGCUAGUUGGUAGGGUAAUGGCCUACCAAGGCAAAGACGGGUAGGGGGCGUGAGAGCGUGACCCCCCACACUGGCACUGGGACACGGGCCAGACUCCUACGGGAGGCAGCAGUGAGGAAUAUUGCGCAAUGAGCGAAAGCUAGACGCAGCAACGCCGCGUGGGUGAUGAAGGCCUUCGGGUCGUAAAACCCUUUUCUGGGGGAAGAGUAAGGACGGUACCCCAGGAAUAAGCCUCGGCUAACUAUGUGCCAGCAGCCGCGGUAAUACAUAGGAGGCAAGCGUUAUCCGGAUUUACUGGGCGUAAAGAGCGUUGAGGCGGCUUCGUAAGUUGGACGUGAAAGCUCCCGGCUUAACUGGGAGAGGCCGUUCAAUACUGCGGGGCUUGAGGACAGCAGAGGGGGGUGGAAUUUCCGGUGUAGUGGUGAAAUGCGUAGAUAUCAGGAGGAAUACCGACGGCGAAGGCAGCUUACUGGACAGUUACUGACCCUCAUGAACGAAAGCUAGGGGAGCAAACAGGAUUAGAUACCCUGGUAGUCCUAGCUGUAAACGUUGUUCACUAGAUGUAGGCGGAUUGGUCCCGUCUGUGUCCAAGCUAACGUGAUAAGUGAACCGCCUGGGGAGUACGGCCGCAAGGCUAAAACUCAAAGGAAUUGACGGGGGCCCGCACAAGCGGUGGAGCAUGUGGCUUAAUUCGAGGCAACGCGAAGAACCUUACCAGGGUUUGACAUAUAUCUGACCGCCAUGGAAACAUGGUUUCUCUUCGGAGCGGAUAUACAGAUGCUGCAUGGCUGUCGUCAGCUCGUGCCGUGAGGUGUUCGGUUAAGUCCGGCAACGAGCGCAACCCGUGCUGCUAGUUACCAGCGAGUAAUGUCGGGGACUCUAGCAGGACUGCCCGUGCUAAGCGGGAGGAAGGCGCGGACGACGUCAAGUCAGUAUGGCUCUUACACCCAGGGCUGCACACGUGCUACAAUGACCGGUACAAUGGGAUGCCACUCUGCGAAGAGGCGCCAAUCUCUAAAACCGGCCCCAGUUCAGAUUGGAGUCUGCAACUCGACUCCAUGAAGUCGGAAUCGCUAGUAAAGGCGUAUCAGCAACGACGCCUUGAAUACGUUCCCGGGCCUUGUACACACCGCCCGUCACAUCAUGGAAGCCUGUUGCACCCGAAGUCGCUGACCGAACCCGCAAGGGACGGAG